CCUUUUCUCAGAACUUUCAGAGCGCCAGUAAUUCUGAAUCCAACUGUUUUGGACCCUUCACUGCCGGAUUGAUUGGGAGAUCAAAAGAUGAGAGAAGCAGAGUCAAUUCGCGAAGGGAAGGCUUUCGAUCUGUUACAGAAAUUCGAAUACAUACUGGAAUCGGAUCCUUUGAUUGAGGAAGUAGGGUUUCUCCACCCAUCCCAGUUUGUUACACUAGCCAAAGAGGGAGAUGAUAAUCUCGAUCAUGGCAGUGAAACGCUUGAUUACUUUUGGAUUAGGGAUCAUAAAUUGGGCAUUUCAACCGCAGUGCUUCUUCCGUUAUACAAUGCCGCCAAAUGUGCAUUUACUGCUGCAGCUAUGCAAUACAAGAGGAUGAUCGAGGAUUUCUCUUGUUCGGCUGGAGUUGAAGCUGCACAGUCUAGCUUUUCAUCUUCCUGUGGUAGUUUCGAGAGUGAAGUAAUGAAGCACAGCCGAGUUCUUUUGCUUUUAAGCUCUGAUUUUGGCACUGCAUGGAAUUCCAGAAAGCUAGUUGUGUCAAAGAAGCAGUCCAUCUCAACGUUUAUUGAUGAGCUUCUUUUGUCUGCCCUGGUCCUCUCCUAUUCUCCUAAAAGCGAGCAUGCCUGGUGCCAUAGGCGGUGGGUGAUCAAGAUUAUUGCUGGAAAAUGCCCCACUUUCCAGGAGGUCUUGGAAAACGAAUCUGAGCUAGUGGAAAAAAUAGCCGAGAAAUCAAAGAUGAAUUAUCGUGCGUGGAACCACCGUUGUUGGAUAGUUUCCUACAUGACAAAGGAAUUGGUGCUAUGUGAGUUGCUGAAAUCGAGAGAUUGGGCUGCACUGCAUGUUGCUGAUAAUUCUUGCUUUCACUAUCGCAGGCGACUAAUGCAUAGGAUGGUGGAGGACUCCUGUCAUGAGAAGGAAGAUAAAUCUUCUGGUCACAAUGAUGAGAUAUGUCGAAUGUGGAAGGAGGAGCUUGAUUGGAACGAACUACUGAUAAAGCGGUAUGUUGGAAGAGAGGCUUUAUGGAUCCAUCGCCGCUUUGUCUCCAUAUGUUGGAUAAACCAUUUUGCUGCUAAUCUUAGUGGCAAAUCAUGCCUUUCAAGGGAUAAUUUAUGCAUAAACAACAGCAUAUGUACUUUUUUGGAUAAUGAGAUAUGUCUCCUAUACACCUGCUCAACAAUUUUGGAUAGUGACUUUGAAGAUUUUGAAGCACAAGCAGUUUAUGCCGUUACUUACAUGUUAUGGCUGACAAAGCAAAUCCCUGAAUCCCAAGGAUCUGAAGUAUUAAAGAAGUUACAAGCAGGGCAGACAAAGACAAUGCUGAAUGAGGCUUGCUCUGAGAAGCCCUUCCUUCAUGAUUUUUUGUAAGGGUAUGUUGGAGCGUGACAGCUCUAUGGGAUUUGGGGAUAAGUGGAUAACUGACACCAUCUUUGGGAGAACUUUGAAAGCAGAUGGAGGAAAACAUGACACCUAUUGAUCUGUUCAAAUUUUUAGAAGUUAAAAUGAGAAUAGAGUAAAGCAUGUGGUGAGCUUUCUCUUUCUCUCCGUAGGCUUGUAUUUGGUGGCAAUUUCACAUUUUUUGUUCUCUUAUAUGGAGAACAUGUCCAUGUUUGUGUUUGUCGAGUAGUCCUUGCUAUCUGCCUUGUCUUCAUCAUAUUCAUUAAUCAAACUCAAACAUUAUGGAUCAACUUCUCUGAGGUUUUUCCUUUCUGGGUUUUUUCCUACAAGAAUUUGAUUACGAAAUUCUUUGUAUCACAACAUAUCAGGUUAAAACUUGUUUCUUCGGAAAGGAAACGUCCCUUUCAAUUUUAGUGGUAACUACUUGAGACCUGAUCUAAAUUGGGCACUGAGAACAAAACUUAAGAUUUGCAUUCAGAGGAUGGCUUAGGCUUGUGAAAUGUUAAUACACUAGAGCUUCCCUCAUUCUAACGAAGGGCAAUGACUUGCAGAAAUAUUUGAUGAGGCAUGGUUGAGCCGUUGAGGUGCUACUUAUAUAAUGGAUACCUAACAAAUCCAUAUGUGUGAUGAUGAAUUGAAUUACUUGCUGUAUUACUAAUGUUGCUUUAUCAGUCAUGUUCUUAUUAUUGUGCCAAUCUUGCUCCAAUUUUUGUAGCUCAUUGCAAUGUGUCAUUGCAUUUCUCAAAUCUUGAUGUGUGUAAUUCUCUCUAAUGAAUUUGUUAUCCCCUUGUCAGCGUCCAAUUUUUGUGGGUUAGCUCAUGCUGACAGAGUUACUCAAGCAAAACAUUUCCCGAAGGUGGGUUGAUUUUUCACUCAAUAUAAAUGAAAGUUGAGGGUAUAAAGUGCAAAUGGGCUGCCCUACUCAAAGCUAUUUUAGCUCCAAUAAAUACAAUGAUAUAGUCUAUGCAUGGAGAGAGGUAAGUUGUCUUUCUUUCUCCCUGAAGUCCAAGCUUUCUUGAUUUAUAUUUGUGGAAUGUUUUGCUUCCUUGUUUGUGUUGUUGCUUUAAAAAGUUGAGACAUCUUUCAUUAGUGGUGGCGGUACAAAAAUGGUGUGUACUAAGCAAGAGAAUGAUGUAGGCAAUUUUUUAAAAGAACAAAUUAUAGAGAGCUUUGAAACAGGAAGUUACGUGGGAUUGUUCAUUUUUUUUAUUGCUGUUGAUUGGCCAUGGGCAUUCUUUUUGGUUUGAUCUGAUUUUAGCCUAUGAUUUUCUUUUCCUCAUGAUUUUGGCUCUCCCAUAAUUUUUUGAGGCUAGAUUCAGAUGCUUCCCUUUGAACCUUUCCAUGAGCUUCUGUGUUGGUGCUUUUAUUCUCCUUCUAGUCCUUUUCUUGAGAUUUUCAAAGUUGUUGUUGAUUCAGGUAUUGCAUAACUGAUUCUACCGUUCCCAUAAUCUUUGGAAACACAGAAGAUCUUCAUCUUAAUAAUCCUAAAGUAAUUUUUUCCUCUAGAAAAAGCUCGUAUAUUACUCCUCUUUCCACUACUUGAAGCAGCCAUGUUUUUUACCCAUGGUUCUCUUCCGUCCUCUUCUCUCUCUUCUAUUCCGGACUUUCUACCGUAAACAUAUCUUGGAACCAGGGUCCAUAACCGGGUUGACUUUUUUCAGGUUUAGAAAACAGUGGAAACUUUUGCAACAAAACCUUAUCAACUCCCGUAGAACAAGAGAGCUUUUUACACAAUUCUGCAACAGUUGAAGCUUCAGAAACAGAUUAUCUACUUCUGAAAAUCUAGACUGUAUUCCUUGUACAAAUUUGAAUCAAAGUAUCUCCGAAUAUUGGUAGUGUACAUCAAUAAAAGAGAGUUAGCUACACUGUAAA